UUGCUCCUUGGGUAGAACAUGAGACUCUUAAUCUCAAGGUUGUGGGUUCAAGCCCCAUGUCGAGCAAAA